GGCUCAGGACGAACGCUGGUGGCGUGCUUAACACAUGCAAGUCGAACGGUGAUGCCCAGCUUGCUGGGUGGAUCAGUGGCGAACGGGUGAGUAACACGUGAGCAACCUGCCCCUCACUUCGGGAUAAGCCUUGGAAACGAGGUCUAAUACCGGAUACGAGCGCCUGCCGCAUGGUGGGUGUUGGAAAGUUUUUCGGUGGGGGAUGGGCUCGCGGCCUAUCAGCUUGUUGGUGGGGUAAUGGCCUACCAAGGCGUCGACGGGUAGCCGGCCUGAGAGGGCGACCGGCCACACUGGGACUGAGACACGGCCCAGACUCCUACGGGAGGCAGCAGUGGGGAAUAUUGCACAAUGGGCGAAAGCCUGAUGCAGCGACGCCACGUGAGGGAUGACGGCCUUCGGGUUGUAAACCUCUUUCAGCAGGGAAGAAGCGAAAGUGACGGUA
rnacentral:rRNA from 1 species